rnacentral:misc_RNA from 1 species
GAUGAGUGGCCAUGGAGUAGGACCAGGAGGGAGUGAGAGGUUCUUGCUAGCUUUCUUGUAGGCGGCCCUUUUUUGACUUUUUAUUACAGUACUAACAAUGGAAAUGAAGAGGGUGACCAGCAGGAUUUUGACAGCGUUGAUAGAGGAGGUGGAGGCGAAGGAGGUGGCAGUGGUGGUAAAGAAACCAGUGGUGGUGGAGACGUUCAUGGCCAUAU